rnacentral:rRNA from 1 species
UACAGAGGUCUCAAGCGUUGUUCGGAUUCAUUGGCGUAAAGGUGCGUAGGUGGCGGGUAAGUCAGUGUGAAUUCGGAGCUCAACUCCGAACUGCAUUGAUACUGCCUUGCUUGAGGACUGGAGAGGAGACUGGAUUCACGGUGUAGCAGUGAAUGCGUAGAUAUCGUGAGAGACCAGUGCGAGCGUCUCUGCGAAUGACGCUGAGAGCGAAGCGUGGGAGCAACACG